UACGGGGGGGGCAAGCGUUGUUCGGAAUUACUGGGCGUAAAGGGCUCGUAGGCGGCCAACUAAGUCGGAUGUGAAAUCCCCAGGCUUAACCUGGGAACUGCAUCCGAUACUGGAUGGCUUGAAUUCGGGAGAGGGAUGCAGAAUUCCAGGUGUAGCGGUGAAAUGCGUAGAUAUCUGGAGGAAUACCGGUGGCGAAGGCGGCAUCUGACCGAGAUUGACGCUGAGUGAGCGAAAGCUAGGGGAGCAAACGGG
rnacentral:rRNA from 1 species